UUGAUUUCAACAGUUAAAAUGAUUUCAUUAUGAACUUCACAUAUAUGUGUGAGCUGGCGAUCCUAGAUCUAAUUUUUUAUCUAUUUUUAUCUGUUGUUAAUUUGUGUAAACAAUCUAGGCUAGUGCUGAGUGUAUGCAUGUUUCCCGCCAGCUCUUUAAUGUUAGAGUUAGUUUAGGUGAGUCAUGACCUGGCUCUAUAAAUAGAAAGGGUGCGGUCAGUUCUUUCUUUUUCCGGUGUUGACCUUUGGUCUGUGUGACCAGGUAGUGAGUUAGUAGUUAGUAAUUGUAGUGUAAAUUUCAGCCUGUCUACUUAUAUUUGCUAUAGUAAACGUCUGUCCAAGACGAAAAGUUUUGAAGAAGAAAUGACAUCUACUUACUCUAGAUAGAGGCCAACUUUACACACAUCGUUUUGCAUCUUAAUUGGAUAUUCAGCAAAAGCAGGAAUGUUUCGUAGAGCUAUUAGAAGCUUUUGGAGAUAAUUGAAAUUGGUUAAUUUGGCAUCAUUCGAUAUUAUAAAGCUUAUUAAAAAAUG